UGCCUUAGUAACGGCGAGUGAAGCGGCAAUAGCUCAAAUUUGAAAUCUGGCUUUUGUAAAUAAAAGUCCGAGUUGUAAUUUGCAGAGGAUGCUUUUGGCAAGGCACUGUCUAAGUUCCCUGGAAUGGGACGCCACAGAGGGUAAGAGCCCCGUCUAGUUAGAUGCCGAAGCCUUUUUAAAGCUCCUUCAACGAGUCGAGUAGUUUGGGAAUGCUGCUCAAAGUAGGAGGUAUAUGUCUUCUAAAGCUAAAUAUUAGCUAGAGACCGAUAGCGCACAAGUAGAGUGAUCGAAAGAUGAAAAGCACUUUGAAAAGAGGGUUAAACAGUACGUGAAAUUGCUAAAAGGGAAGCACUUGCAACUAGACAUGGAUGUUUUCAAUCAAUUAGUGAUUUUCACUAAUGUGCUUGGAAUUAUCUAGGCUAGCAUCGGUUUACUGUAGAGAAAAAAGAUAUCUAGAACGUAGCCCUCUUCGGAGGGUGUUAUAGCUAGAUGUGUAAUGCUCUACUUAGUAGACCGAGGUGUUAUUGCGCAU
rnacentral:rRNA from 16 species